rnacentral:rRNA from 1 species
CCUGAGAAACCCAAAAGAUCGAAUGAGGAGAUUCAUCGUCAAUAUAUUUAAUAUAUAUAUAAGUUAUGAUGUAAAUUAUUUUUCUCUUUAUGGGUUAUUUAAUAUAUACAUACUUGUAUUAUUUUAUUGUUAAAUAUAAUCGACGUGCACUUCUCCUCUAGUAGGACGUUGCGACCCGUUGGGUGUCGGUCUAUGGCCUUAUUAAGUAGCCUUUAAUUCCUUAAAAAAAUUAAAGAUUAAUUUGUGUUUCCUGACCGACUGCCCGGCGGUAUUCAUAUGAUAAUGAGUCGCAUUUUAUUAUGCGUUCAUACCCAUCGCAAGCGAGGCCAGUUUAUUAUCCUGGUAGUUACGGACUUAGUGCCGUCGCUGGGCCUGGCCAGCUGUUAGCUGUAUGGUGUUCUAGAACUGACUCAAAUAUAAUAUUAUCGGUCGGCAAUGCUACUGCU